GUUCUACUAUCAUGCUUACGGUGAUCAUCUUGGAGAACUAAACGUUCUUAUUGAGGAUGACAUUUAUGCAGUAGCUUUGGUCAGUGAAGAUGAAUGGAAGAAAUAUGAAAUCGACUUGAAAGAUGUCUCAGGAGAAUUUAAGAUUACCUUUGAGGGUGUACGAGGUGAUGGUAACCUUGGUGAUAUCGCUAUUGAUGACGUCAGCUUUGUUGGAGACAAUUGUAUAGAAAUUGACCCAUGCUCAAGUUAUCCUUGUCUGAAUGGUGGCACCUGCAGUUCGAUUGACAAGGACUUCCAAUGUGACUGUAUUCCU